rnacentral:lncRNA from 1 species
CUCGACCUGCUCCCUCUUGGGAGGCAGGAAAUGCUAUACUGACCGAUCCUCACUCAGAAAUGGGUGAGGAGAUGGGCUGUCACCUCUACCUGGUCAGGCAGAGUGACCCGGUGGCUUAACAUAGGACGGCCCCCUACAACCCAGGGGACACGGUAAAUAUUCGUCCACUAAGUCAUAUGCCAAUCUGGUGCCCACGUCCCCCCUUACACAAUCACUCUCACACUCACUCUCACAGUCACUCAUCAAUCAAUCAACUCACCUUCAGGGUUUCAGCACAAGAGCUGGGAGAGCCUUCCCUUUGUCCUGGUGUUUCCUAGAGGGGUCCUACUACCAUCCCGGCGAGACCCCAUAUGUUAGGGUCCGAGUGGAAGUACCUCACAAAGGAACAUGCAGAGACAAUGCAACAGGCAGCAGGGAGAGGUUUAUUUACUAGGUUAGGAUGGUUCCCCAAAAGAACCGUCCUGGGGCAAACCCAAGAGUGCAUAUUUAUAGAGAGUAGCUUAAAGGGAGGAUUCAACAGCUGUGGCCUUGGGUAGAGAGACUUACAGCUUUCCUAGGAUAUCUGUCUUGACUGUGGCCUUGCAGUUCUUCCAGGAUGUCUAUCUACUAUGGCCUUGCAGUUUCUUGGAACUUGUUCAUUUGGACAUAGUGCAACCCCCCUUCCCUUCAGCUGAAGUCAAAAAUGUGCACAAAAGAACAGAUCCUAGAGUUGCUGGAGCAGUUCCUAACCAUCUUUCCCCAAGAGGUCCAGUCCUGGGUGAGAGAACAUCAUCCAAAGAAUGGAGAGGAAGUGGUGAAUAUAUUGGAGAAUAUGUAGAGAAAGCCUGAUGAGCCAGGACAGCAGAUGGGAAUGGAUAGGGGAAGAUCAGGUCUAGGAACAGGGAAACAAAACAGCAAUGGCAGGAACCCUGAAGCUGGAUUUCCCAAACUGUGCUUACAAACAGGACGUCCUUUCAGAAGAGAUGGUACAUACAGUACAAGAAGUACAAGCACAGCCAGCUCCAGAGUAUGGAAGCCCAGGUCAAGUGUCAGUUUCCAGAGCUUCAUGCCUUAUAAGAGAGAGGUAAGUUUUAGAAUUUGAAACUUUUUGGUCUUAUGAAGUCUGUAGAAGAUAAGGUAGGACCCUGAUUGAUUUUUGAGGUUUCUUAGAUAGUUAUUAAACUAUGACAGGUAUAUAUAUUCAAGGAUAGAUGAAAUCAUGCUUCUGUGCACAUGCAAAAUAUAAAAAAUUCUGCCAAGAGUUGUGACCUGAAUUAAUCUAAGCUUUUCCUUCUUCUUCAUUCCUCCACAACAUGUAAAGGAUAGAAUAAAUCCUUUUGCCUCUCUGGAUUAUUCA